UACGUAGGGUGCGAGCGUUAAUCGGAAUUACUGGGCGUAAAGCGUGCGCAGGCGGUUUUGUAAGCCAGAUGUGAAAUCCCCGGGCUUAACCUGGGAAUGGCAUUUGGGACUGCAAGGCUUGAGUGCGGCAGAGGAGACUGGAAUUCCUGGUGUAGCAGUGAAAUGCGCAGAUAUCAGGAGGAACACCGGUGGCGAAGGCGGAUCUCUGGGCCUGUUCUGACGCUGAGGCGCGAAAGCUAGGGGAGCGAACAGG
rnacentral:rRNA from 1 species